GAUGAACGCUAGCUACAGGCUUAACACAUGCAAGUCGCGGGGCAGCAUGGGGGUUGCUUGCAAUCCCCGAUGGCGACCGGCGCACGGGUGAGUAACGCGUAUCCAACCUGCCCUUCACCACGGGAUAACCCGGCGAAAGUCGGACUAAUACCGUAUGUUGUCCAUUGACGGCAUCCGAUUUGGACGAAAGGCUUGGCGGUGAGGGAUGGGGAUGCGUCCGAUUAGCCAGACGGCGGGGUAACGGCCCACCGUGGCUACGAUCGGUAGGGGUUCUGAGAGGAAGGUCCCCCACACUGGAACUGAGACACGGUCCAGACUCCUACGGGAGGCAGCAGUGAGGAAUAUGGGUCAAUGGGCGUAAGCCUGAACCAGCCAAGUAGCGGGCAGGAUGACGGCCCUAUGGGUUGUAAACUGCUUUUAUGCGGGGAUAAAGUGGCCCACGUGUGGGCUUUUGCAGGUACCGCAUGAAUAAGGACCGGCUAAUUCCGU
rnacentral:rRNA from 1 species